rnacentral:rRNA from 1 species
CCUACGGGAGGCAGCAGUAGGGAAUAUUGCUCAAUGGGGGAAACCCUGAAGCAGCAACGCCGCGUGGAGGAUGAAGGUUUUAGGAUUGUAAACUCCUUUUGUUAGAGAAGAUUAUGACGGUAUCUAACGAAUAAGCACCGGCUAACUCCGUGCCAGCAGCCGCGGUAAUACGGAGGGUGCAAGCGUUACUCGGAAUCACUGGGCGUAAAGAGUGCGUAGGCGGGGUAAUAAGUCAGAUGUGAAAUCCUGUAGCUUAACUACAGAACUGCAUUUGAAACUGGUACUCUGGAGUGUGGGAGAGGUAGGUAGAAUUCUUGGUGUAGGGGUAAAAUGCGUAGAGAUCAAGAGGAAUACUCAUUGCGAAGGCGACCUGCUGGAACAUGACUGACGCUGAUGCGCGAAAGCGUGGGGAGCAAACAGGAUUAGAUACCCCAGUAGUC